rnacentral:rRNA from 1 species
AUUGAACGCUGGCGGCAUGCUUUACACAUGCAAGUCGAACGGCAGCACGAGUGCUUGCACUUGGUGGCGAGUGGCGAACGGGUGAGUAAUACAUCGGAACGUGUCCUGAAGUGGGGGAUAACGCAUCGAAAGAUGUGCUAAUACCGCAUAAUCUCUCAGGAGGAAAGCAGGGGAUCGAAAGACCUUGCGCUUUUGGAGCGGCCGAUGUCUGAUUAGCUAGUUGGUGGGGUAAUGGCCUACCAAGGCAACGAUCAGUAGUUGGUCUGAGAGGAUGGCCAACCACACUGGGACUGAGACACGGCCCAGACUCCUACGGGAGGCAGCAGUGGGGAAUUUUAGACAAUGGGCGAAAGCCUGAUCCAGCCAUUCCGCGUGCAGGAUGAAGGCCUUCGG